rnacentral:rRNA from 1 species
AUUGAACGCUGGCGGCAGGCCUAACACAUGCAAGUCGAGCGAGCGGCGGACGGGUGAGUAAUGCCUGGGAAUUGCCCAGUCGAGGGGGAUAACAGUUGGAAACGACUGCUAAUACCGCAUACGAUUGGAAUGCCGAUGUGGGAUUAGCUAGUUUGUGAGGUAAUGGCUCACAAAGGCGCCGAUCCCUAGCUGGUCUGAGAGGAUGAUCAGCCACACUGUAACUGAGACACGGUCCAGACUCCUACGGGAGGCAGCAUUGGUGAAUAUUCCACACUGGGGGCAACCCUGAUGCAGCCAUGCCGCGUGUGUGAAGAAGGCCUUCGGGUUGUAAAGCACUUUCAGCGAGGAGGCGGUACUCGCAGAAGAAGCACCGGCUAACUCCGUGCCAGCCGCCGCGGUAAUUC